AUUUAAAUCUGAGAGAGAGAAAUGUAACUCCAGCCCGUUUCAGACAGAGAGGUACCUUAACCUCAGAGUCAGUUACUAUGGUAACUGAGCCUGUGAAUCUAACCUGCUCGGGAGCAGGUUUUCUUCUCUCUG